rnacentral:rRNA from 1 species
GGUGAACGCUGGCGGCGUGCUUAAGACAUGCAAGUCGAACGGCAGUCUUCGGACUGUAGUGGCGCACGGGUGAGUAACGCGUAACUGACCUACCCCAAAGUCGCGGAUAACGAUUCGAAAGAAUCGCUCAUACGUGAUGUGCUGUCAGAUUGUGUUCUGCCAGUAAAGAUUGAUUGCUUUGGGAUGGGGUUGCGUUCCAUCAGCUAGUUGGUGGGGUAACGGCCCACCAAGGCGACGACGGAUAGCCGGCCUGAGAGGGUGGCCGGCCACAGGGGCACUGAGACACGGGUCCCACUCCUACGGGAGGCAGCAGUUAGGAAUCUUCCACAAUGGGCGAAAGCCUGAUGGAGCGGCGCCGCGUGAGGGAUGAAGGUCUUCGGAUCGUAAACCUCUGAAUCAGGGACGAAAGACACUUCGGUGGGAUGACGGUACCUGAGUAAUAGCACCGGCUAACUCCGUGCCAGCAGCCGCGGUAAAAC